rnacentral:misc_RNA from 1 species
AAGAAAAAAGUAAAACCGACGAUAACCCUACGGACGAGUCCGAGAUUUUGACGUCGGCUGAUGGUGUAGAAGGUGGAGACGGAGCCAUCUAUACUAUUGAUGCGGCCAAGCGUAUGAAGUAUGAGGAGCUAUUCCCUGUGGAGACCAGGAAGUUUGGUUACGAUCCUAACAACUCCAAUACCAAGUUCAAGUCUGUGGAGGAUGCUCUCGAUGACCGUGUCAAGAAGAAGGCGGAUCGUUACUGUAAAUAAUCAGGCAUCGGUCAUAGUAGAGAUUCCAGGUAUUUCUUGUAAGGAUGCUCAUCAUGCUCCACUAAGCAACGGGUUUAGCAUCACUAUGCCUAAGAUUAACGGGUUUCAUGGUAUUGUGAUCUAUAUAGACUCAUGGACCCAUUACCAUUGAAGAAAUUUUAGUUUCGUGCUGAUUGUAAUUACUUCCAUCCUCCCCUCUGAUUGUUUUGCUAUCCCACACCGUGU